GAGUAGUAUUAGCUAAAAUCUUGAAACUCAAAAAAUUUGGCGGUAUUUUAUCUUAUUAGAGGAACCUGUUUAUUAAUUGAUGUUCCACAACUUUAAUUUACUUUUAUAAAAUUAUUUGUAUACCGUUGUCAUGAAUCUAUUAAAAAAUGAUUUUCAAAAUUUUUUAUGAAAUUUAUGUUAGAUCAAGGUGCAGUAUUUAAAAGAGAAAAAUGGGUUACAUUAUUUAUUAUGAAUGAAAAUUGUUAUAAAUUUAUUAAUGGAAAUAGGAUUUGAUAGUAAAUGUAAUUUAAAGAUUUUUUAUGAAUAAAGAUUCUAAAAUAUG
rnacentral:rRNA from 1 species